GUCCACGCCGUAAACGAUGUCUACUAGCCGUUGGAGUCCUUGAGGCUUUAGUGGCGCAGCUAACGCACUAAGUAGACCGCCUGGGGAGUACGGUCGCAAGAUUAAAACUCAAAUGAAUUGACGGGGGCCCGCACAAGCGGUGGAGCAUGUGGUUUAAUUCGACGCAACGCGAAGAACCUUACCAGGUCUUGACAUCUAGAGAACUUGCCAGAGAUGGCUUGGUGCCUUCGGGAACUCUAAGACAGGUGCUGCAUGGCUGUCGU
rnacentral:rRNA from 1 species